ensembl:ncRNA K08A8.24 ncRNA
AAGCAGUCAGUUUCCGGAGGCUUCUUUUUUUUCACCCAGAUUUGAUAAAAAAGAUGCAUUGGUAUUUUUACUUGCACACAACCAACCAAAAGUGUG